rnacentral:lncRNA from 1 species
CGAAUUAGCAUUGCUCUCCUUUUCUUAGGUUGCCCUUGUGGGUUUUCAACCUAGCGCUCUUUUUCUUUUUCUUUCUUGCUUGUUUUUUCCUUUGAAUACUUUUGAACACCCUCAAGUUGCAAUCACAAGUGCAUGAAAGCAUGAGUCAUAUUUGAAGUUUGAAGGCGAAGAUGCAAGAUCUUGCCUCCGCUUGGUUGAGGGAUUUUGGACUGAUUCAUGAUGAGUAACUUCAGUCUUACCCAAGUUAUAGGUUUCUGGGUACCUUCUUUCGAGAAAUGAGAUCAGCCUCCACAAACUGCCCCAGUUUGACACCUUUCGUUUGAUUUCAACUUGUCAAGUGUUUUCUUCAUGCACAACUCCUUAAAAAUAAAUACUAAAAACAGUGAUCAAGCAAAUUUGGAUUUUUGUUUUUGGGUUUUGAGUGUUGAUAUGGUGGUGGUGAUGAU